rnacentral:rRNA from 1 species
UACAGAGGUGGCAAGCGUUGUUCGGAAUUACUGGGCGUAAAGGGCGCGUAGGCGGUCUUGCAAGUCCUGUGUGAAAUCCCUCGGCUCAACUGAGGAACUGCACAGGAAACUGCUUGGCUUGAGUUUGGGAGAGGGAUGCGGAAUUCCAGGUGUAGCGGUGAAAUGCGUAGAUAUCUGGAGGAACACCGGUGGCGAAGGCGGCAUCCUGGACCAACACUGACGCUGAGGAGCGAAAGCCAGGGGAGCAAACGGG